UAGGGAAUCUUUCACAAUGGACGCAAGUCUGAUGGAGCAACGCCGCGUGAGUGAAGAAGGUUUUCGGAUCGUAAAGCUCUGUUGUUGGUGAAGAAGGACAGGGAUAGUAACUGAUUCUUGUUUGACGGUAAUCAACCAGAAAGUCACGGCUAACUACGUG
rnacentral:rRNA from 1 species